rnacentral:rRNA from 1 species
CCCUUAGAUGUUCUGGGCCGCACGCGUGCUACACUGAGUGGAUCAGCGGGUCAGGUUAUGCGAGAGCGUUUCCUAAUCUUCAAAUCCGCUCGUGAUGGGGAUUGACGGUUGCAAUUUUCCGUCAUGAACGAGGAAUACCUUGUAAGCGCGGGUCAUCAUCCCGCGCUGAAUACGUCCCUGCCCUUUGUACACACCGCCCGUCGCUCCCACCGAUUGAGUGGUCCGGUGAGGCUUUGGGAUCUAAGCGAAAAGAGCGUUUCGCUCCUUUUGCUGGGAGAACUCAGUCGAACCUUAUCAUUUAGAGGAAGGAGAAGUCGUAACA